GCCCGGGUGGCGGAAUUGGUAGACGCACCGGACUCAAAAUCCGGCGGUGGGAACACCAUGCGAGUUCGAGUCUCGCCCCGGGCACCA
rnacentral:tRNA from 1 species